AACAGGAGAGGGAGCAAGCGCGAGAGGAUAUUAGAAGAGAGGCUUGUCUCCAAGAUAUGGAAGGAAGUGAGAAAUGACAGGGCUGCAAGCUUUGUAUGUAGGAGCCCGGCAGGGCGGGGGAGCGGCGAGGAGAGCCAAGUGGAUUCUCAGAAAAGGGGGGAAGCCAUCGAAGAGCUAAAGGUGAUUAGAGGGGGAUAUUGAUUUCUUAUUCUGCCAGAGAUUUAAGCAGGCAUGCGAGGAAUCUGCACCAUGGUUGGCAAAAAGAGACCCGUUGCCUCCUGUAACCAGACACUCAGGCUUUCCAGGAGCCCAGGGAGCAAGCCGAGAAGAAAGGGGGCAGUGUGGUCUAGGAAAAUUCAACUUGUCGCUGAUUUGUGCCUGAUGCCUGCUGUCCGUCAGCAGCCUCCCUUACAAUCUUUUUUUCUCUCUCUCCUUUUUUUUUCCUUGCCUUCUCCUUCUUCACUGAAGCCUAGGGGAGCCAGUAAAGAUUAAAUGUGCUUCUCAAAGGCAGCCACUUCAUGCUGCUAUGUCGAAAGGGCCAUUAUUAUUAUUAUAUUUUAAUGGUAAAAGAGAAAAGGAGAGAGGUUGAGCGAGCGAGAGAGAAGCUAGGUGUGAUGAUGACAGACUAGCUUUUCUGAGAGGAAAAGGAAAAGGGAAGGGAGAGAAAAAGGAGAGCCUCUGAGCUCAACGGAGGAUUGUGCCUGAGAAGAACCCACAGAGCUGGUCCUAUAGUACCCCUCCUCAGGAAUGUCUCCCCAGUGCAAGGACAAAGACUGAAGAGACUGCUAUAUUGAUGGACUCUCAAGCCAACUAUGAAGUUGAAACAAAGAAAGUGAUCACCUGAAGACACCUCCUCUGCUAAGAAACACCCCCAAAUUGUGCAGCUUCUGCCACUAGAACUCUCAGAACAAGAGACAAUCUUUUCAAGAAACAGAAAAACUCAAUAAUGACAUCUAGAUUUUCAUGAGCCAAGAACUUUCCCUUCCUCAUGUGUAUUCCUCUGUUUGUACUUAAAUUCAUGUGACAUUCAUUUUUUUCCUAGUAUGGAUAUGCUUAUUAAUGCACUUGUUUCAAAAUCCCAAAUUGCACAAAUGUGUUAAUAUUUUAAGAAACAAAAUGAAUCCUACAAGGAGAAUGAUUUUUAGCCACACAUAGGGUUGGAUCUUGAGAGUGACCUACAGAAUAAAAGUACUUUUAAAAUAAAGUAGUCAGAGGCUAUUCAAAGGGUAAAAUAAUCAUAGUACCACAUUGGUCCACUUGACACUAACCAAUCGAUCAUUUUUUUUUAAUCAAGAAAGCUAGAUUCUAUCAGAUAAAAUCACUGCUUCUAAAGAGUUUAAAUCUAGUUAGAAAAAGUUAUAGAAAUGUUUGCAAAGAUAAGUAACAGAUAGAGUCAGUAGAGGAUAAGAUCAAAAACAAAACCAAGCAAAAGAUGAGUUCAGGGGAGUUUGCCAUCAAGUUGGCAAAACUGACUUACUUAGGGAAGAAAGUUAUAAAACAGGAAAAUAUGAGAUGAACCUUGAGUGAUGUGGAAGAUUUAGAUAAAUGGAAAGGAAGGAGAAAAUGGAGUUCUUUAGGUGGUUGUAAUUGGAGGAGGAAAUGAAUACACACAUCUUGUUGACUUAAACCCAGACAUUCAGCAGCUCUCUAUACAUAUCUGGAAAAGACUGCACAGUCACCUCCUGUCUCUCACCCCAGGUAUUACUUAGAAUUAUUAUCAUAUUUCCCUUCCUUUAAAGUAAGUAAGGGUGAUUGGUGACAAUAUGGAGAACUAUGAUUUUUCCAUUAACCUAAUAAUAAUUGGUAUUUAUUGAGUUCUGUUAAGCAUUUUACAUAUUAACUCACUUAAGCCUUUCAACAGCCUUGCAAAAUAGGUAUUAUUAUCCCCAUUUUACAGGCAAGAAAACUGAGGUUUAAGUAACUUGCCGAAGUGCCAUAUACAGGGCUCACAUUCAGUAUUGCAGUUGCAAAGCUCAUGAUCUAUAGUGCCAAGUUGCAAUAUUGUAGUCAAUGUCACAAUUAUUACCCCUUUUUAUAUUCCUUGAUAUUUUUCCAUGGCAAACAAUUAGCUAUUUCAUUUAAUAAUCACCUAAAACUUUUCAGUCUUCUGAUUAAAAUUACGCUGGAGUGAUAGAAUGUAUUUUCAUGAUAGAAAUUGGGAAAAAAAAUGGGGAAUGAAGUUUAUCAGCAUUUCAGACUUGUUUUUUUUUUUUUUUUUUGCAAGACUUUGAUGAGAUUGUUCACUUUUGUCUAUGUAAAAUCCCAAAUCCUUGAGAAUAAAAAAGGGGGAGGUUUAAGUCACUUGUUGCAAUGCCCUUUUUAAUAGAGGCAAUAAAUCUAAAGGCCAUAAAUUUAGAGUGACUUACAGAAGAUCGAACUUUGGAGUGUGGCAGAGUAAGGGAUGGAAACCGGGCCCUCCAGUUCACUAUCAGUAGCUUUUGCACUGGUCUGCCCUUCCUAAAUUAAGUAUGCACUUCAAUUUGAUGAGUGGAAACAGUCUAUCUGGGCAGUAACCAGGGAGCUUUGUGCCUAGUAGAUUGCUUCUGUUCUGCACUUCUUUGGUUUCCCACCUCAAUGUAAAAAAUAGCUAGCAAUGAAGUCCAGAAGUUGUCAAUGGUUCAUCCCCAGAAGAAUGCAUAAUGUCCAAAGUUGUAUGUGUAUGAUGUCUUCAAUGGUAUUAAGUUAUUUCAAAUUCUUAGUUCACCUACAUAAAUCAUUUCUAACAAGCAUCUUCUUAACCAACUUUAUGCACAGUGUAUGUUUGUAAGUGCUUCUGCACGAAUGUUUAUACAUGACUGUUUCCAUAGUACUUAUGUUUUUAAAAAUAUUCAGUCAUUUCCUACUAUAAUCCUCAUGUAUCCAUGUAACUGACUCAAAAAUACUUCAGCCACAGAAAGCUAAAACUGAGCAAAUCUCAUUCUUCUUUUCCAUCCCCUUUGCAUGUGGCUGGCAUUUAGUAAUGAUUAAUAAUAUGGCCAGCUGAAUAACAGAGGUUUGAGACACAAUUCUUUCUCAAAGGAGUCAGCUAAGCUGGGUCUACUUAUGGACAAACAUCUAAAUGUGUGGAAGUAUCUGAUAUUUGACAAUGGUAAAUUUCCACUUAGCUAGCUAGCAUUGUCAGACUUCAAUCUCCUCAUGGCUCUGGCCGUCCUGUUUUAAGCAUGAUAAUUGUUGGCCACAUCUCACAUAGUUCUCAUUGAGUGAGUUCAUAAAUAAACAGGGUUUUUUUUUUUUUUUAAAGAGCAGCCAAGCACAAAGUGUGACUUUGUUGACAUUUUAUGUGACUUUGUCAUAUGUUCCUAACCCCCAAUAAAAGCAAUGUUGCAUCAACUGU
rnacentral:lncRNA from 1 species